AUGGGUGCAAUGUUUAUUUUCUCAUCGACUGUGUUUUGGUGAAGGGAACCACCACAUCCACCAUACUGACUACUGGAGAUAAUUGGAAAAUCUUCUUUCUUCUGAAGCGAGAUUACAUUGCAUGGUUGCAAUGUUUAUUAUACCAUAGAAUGGGAUUUUGGUGUAAGGGAACCACCACAUCCAGCAUACUGAACAUGGGAGAUACUGGGAAAGUCUUCUUUUUUGCAGGGAGCUUCCAUUGUACAGGUGCAAUGUUUAUUUUCCGCUCUGCUGUGAAUCUGGUAGAAGGGAACCACCACAACCAGCAUAAUGAGUGUGGGAGACACUAGCUAGCCUUCUUUCUUUUGGGCAGGCAGCUGCAUCUGACUCAGCCAGAGACAGUGCCUGAAACCGGUUUGUCAGACGCAUCGGGGAGGCCUUCUGAUCAGCCUCCGGGGACGUCUUUCGCUGCCUGCCACACCUUGGAACGACCUCCCAAUCAACCACAACUAAUAGUAUAACAAUAGGUACAGUAACAGUAAAUCAACCAAUAAAGGGGAAGAGGAAAAGGAAUCCAAUGACGAAGGCAAAUAACAUAUUUUA